CACUCUUAUAAAAUAUCCUGAGAAAUAAAUGGGGUGCGAUUAACAGGUGUUUCAAGGGUUUCAUCAUUUGUUAAUAUUAUUUUUCUUUUACUAACAUUUGCAUUUGUUUUUUAUUUUGAAUUAUUAUUAGUAAUUUUUAUUACUUCUAACUAUUAGUAUUUAAUAUUGGUAAUUUUAUUAUUAAUAUUAAUAUUAAUAUUAGGUGAUAUUAUUAUUAAUAUUAUUUUAACAUUAUUCUUAUAGAAUUUGUAUACAUUAUUAUUAACUAGUUUUAUUAAUUAUAUAUUAGGAUUAUUAGCAUUAAUGUAAAUAUUAUUAUCAAAAUUAUUUUUAAAUUGUUAGGUUAGUUGGGCAAUAGGCCCAUUAGGUAUAGAAAACCCUAAUUGGGACUAAUAUAAAUAUAACACUUUUUUUACCGUACAGGGGGGGCCGAAAAAACGACAACCACCACACAACCAUUCACCAACAAUCUUUGUUCAGCCACUCUCAGUACCAUUUUGCACGUGAAACCUUUCUCAGUAUAAUCAAAAUCACUUUUACUGCACUUCUCCUUUCACAAAAGACAAACCAUGUACAUAUUUUUUUUACUAAUAUCAUGACCAUUCACAAUACUACCCAUCCCCAAACAAUAACCAAACUUCACAAAAAAAAAAAAAAAAACAAAAUCUAAUUCUUUCUGUUAGUUUUAACAACCAAAGCAUUGUUUCGUACAACAACAGUGAGAUCGAAUCAAAAGCAAACACAUGAGAUCAUCACUACACAAGAGCUCCUCACAACCGUGAAUCCGACCACCGCCUCCCAAUCGCCAGCGAAGGAAUCAAUGCACCACAGCACAACAGCAACAAUGCAGCAGCAAAAAUCGCGACCUGUGAGUAGCACCGACACGCAUCAACGAAUCAGAAGGAGGAAGAACUCGCCUCGGGGUACUCAUCGAAGAUUGUCAAACUCGGGGGGGCCGAAAAAACGACAACCACCACACAACCAUUCACCAACAAUCUUUGUUCAGCCACUCUCAGUACCAUUUUGCACGUGAAACCUUUCUCAGUAUAAUCAAAAUCACUUUUACUGCACUUCUCCUUUCACAAAAGACAAACCAUGUACAUAUUUUUUUUACUAAUAUCAUGACCAUUCACAAUACUACCCAUCCCCAAACAAUAACCAAACUUCACAAAAAAAAAAAAAAAAACAAAAUCUAAUUCUUUCUGUUAGUUUUAACAACCAAAGCAUUGUUUCGUACAACAACAGUGAGAUCGAAUCAAAAGCAAACACAUGAGAUCAUCACUACACAAGAGCUCCUCACAACCGUGAAUCCGACCACCGCCUCCCAAUCGCCAGCGAAGGAAUCAAUGCACCACAGCACAACAGCAACAAUGCAGCAGCAAAAAUCGCGACCUGUGAGUAGCACCGACACGCAUCAACGAAUCAGAAGGAGGAAGAACUCGCCUCGGGGUACUCAUCGAAGAUUGUCAAACUCGGUAAAUCUCCAGAUCUCUCAUCUAUGUCGUGUUUUCGUAUCGAUCUGUUUUGUUGAGAUUAUCAAGCUUGCUCUAAUUUCUAUGCUCAGUUUGUGUAUUGAUUAAAUUGUCUUAGUUCUACCAUGUGCUUUAAUGUCUUUCGCUUGUUUGAUUUCACCAAAAGAGAGAGUAUAUAUAUGUUAGUUUGUCUAUUUGCAAUGAAGUAGGGAUUGGUAGAAUGUGAGUUUAAGAAGAAAAGUGAAAUUGAGAGAAACCCAGGAAAAGACGAACGAAAGAGGGGUUAUGUGCUUCGUUAUUUUCUUAUCUUCAUUUAUAUUCAUUUGUUUUUUUUAUUUGUGUUUUCAACCUCUCAGAACUUGUUUCCUUAUAACUAAAAUGCCAACACUAAUUUUUUAUUUUAAUGAAAAUAAAUGCUCAAAUUAGAUUGAUUUAUAUGUUAUAAAAAUGAAAUAGUCAAACUUAAUUUCUAUCCUUUAUUAUUUGAGAAUAGCUUGGUUUAGGAUCUCUGCAUUUUUGCCAAAUUGAUAAAGUAUUGUUUUGCUGUGUAACCCACGUGAUAUCCACGCUUCUUGCGAAAAGAAAAAAAACAAGCAUAAUAUUUCCUUUAAUUUGAUUCACAUGUUAAGGAAAAAACAACAGCGAAAUAAAAUAUUAGCCUUACUUCAAUUUCAAUUAGUUUUAAUUCAAUAGUUAAUCUAAAUUAGCUAAUAAAUAAUUAGUUCAUAUUUUAAUUAGAAUAAUUAGUAAUAUUUUUUAAUUAGAAUAACUAAUUAAUUUAUUCAAUUAGAAAGGAUUAGAAUAAAUUAGGAUUAGGCUAAUGGUUAGUUUAGGAUUAUAAUACUUCCCGAUUAUUUCGAUCAUUCGAUUUAAUUAUUUAUUUAACUUUAAUUAUAAAAAUCACAACAAAAACUUAGGAGAUGAUUCAGGCAUUAGGGUUUGUCCAAUCCCAUUGCCCAUUAGGCGAAAAUAUUAACAUCAAUUCUCUUCUCGACCCGACUAAAUCUAUUAGUCGCAUUAGACAAGAGAUAAAAAAUAUAUGAAAUUGAAUUCUCUCCUCGACCCGACUAAAGCUAUUAGUCGCAUUAGACGAGAGAUAAAAAUUAAUUACAAAUCUAAAACACAUUCAAUUUGCUGCCCGCGACGAUCAAUCUAUCGAUCUGAGUAACCAGCAAUGCCCCUCAAUCCGUUAGCUAUACUGACCAAAUCCAUUGGUCACAGCAUCUAACGGUGCCAUAUCAAAUCAGGGUUGUACGCCCAAAUCUAAAAGACAUUCAAAAUACUUCAAAUCAAACUACGGAUUUUCAUCCUUACUCAAAACUACGGCAAGCCAUUCAAAAAGCCUUCAAACCAUUCAAACUCUAAUUCUAAGGCGUACAACCUUGUGCCCGAACUACGUUGACUCUGAUUCUCCAUAAGGAGAUACGUAGGCACUUGGCAACAAGGCGAGUCCCCUUCCUCUAAAUCUCAAUUUUUCCCCUAUUCACUUCCCUAGCUAUUAAACCUCUAUAAUUUUAGCCAUAAACCUUUACCUUGGAUUCAAAGCCAAUAGGAAAGGGUUGAGGGUGCCUAACACCUUCCCUCAACCUGAUUAUAAUAACUUACCCCGAAUCUCAUAACUGCGUAGGGUUUCCUAUUCGCCCUUCAGAAUAGGUGGCGACUCUAAAUUUAAUUUUUAGGGCAGGUUGCUACAGCCAGUAACUAACUCGAAGCCUGGUUUACUUAUGUAGUUUUAAAGGUAGUCAUAAUAAAAUUUGAAUCAAAGCAUAAAUAUAAAAAAAAUUAGUUAUAACUAUAUUGAAUAUCACUUCUCCUAAUAAACACCAUAUUUAAAAAAAAAAAAAACAGAACGUUUAAAUGCAAAAAUAUUUUUACAUAGUAUGUGUUUACACUUACACAUUAUGCAUAUAUGUAAAGUGCUAAGUAGAUCAAUAUUCUCUUAAAAAUUUAUUUUGUUAUAUCAAAAUGAUUAACAGUAGUAUAAAAUAUUUUCAUAACCCUUAGUAACUAUUAAUUCCUCUUUGUUUUUUUUAAAAAAACUUCAUUAUCCAAAAUCAUACUGGUUGGAUAAAUAAAUAUAUAACAAUAUAGUCAUUAUAUUCCAAAACUUUAGUCACUAUCUUCAAAUAACAAUUACAAAUUAAUUAUAAUUUUAUUAUUUAAUUAUACUCUACUUAUAUUCACAAUAUUCUUACAAAAUCUAUUUUAAUUUAUUUAAAGACUAUUUAUUCAAAACAACUAAUUUGCAAAAAGUAAAAAAAAAAAUCAAUUGCUAUGAGAACACUAUUCGCAGGUAAUUUAUAAACAUGGUAAUUCUUAGAGAAGAAAUUUGUUUACCUUAACAAAAAGUAGUGGUAGAGACUUAGAAGUAGUGUAGAGACUUGUCGUACAUUGUGCAUGUAUUGUAUGAGGUAAGUCUUGUAGUAUUUAAAUACUACUUUGGUGAAAGGUAAUAUCAAUAGGGUUACGCUCCAUGUUUCAUUACUAUUUAAGAGUUACUAUAAGGUAAGUCUUGUCGAUAGGGAUGGCAAUUUGGCCCAUCCCCAGUGAGUUUGGUUUCUUAGCCAUGAAGAAAUUUCAAAGAAUAUCCAAGUGUGAUCAUUGCAUUUUCGAGCCAGCUCCCUAUCCAUUGAUUCUAUCUGAUCUUGGGGAACAUUUCAGAUGCAAAGUGAGCUCUAAUUGGUUGGUGAGAAGAUUCCUUGGGUGAUUCAUCAAUUUGCCAUAAAUUCACAAAUGUAAUCAUUACAUAAUCACAUGUUCUUGUUUUAGGAAUCUUCUUCAAUUAUCAUGGCAUGGUAAAAAUGAAUGCAUGGUAUGUUUUCAGAUGUGUUAUGGGUCGUGUAGCAUCCAUAUUUGAGGUCAUGUGCACAAAAUUUCAAAGUUCAAAAAUGAUGCAUGACCUAUAAUUUCACUUCAUGAGGCCAACUUUGAACAAGCAUAACUCCUAGCUCAAAAUGAAUUUGGAGAAGGUUGAACACAAUUUGGAAAGCCCUAAACAUCUACUUCAAAUCAUUAGUUUGGAGUUUCUUCAAAAUCCUUUGGCAAAUUUGUGAAAAAUGAGGCCAAAGUUGGAAGAAAACUAGGUUAAAACACUCAGAAAAAUUUCUAAGUGUUUAUGACCUAAAACUCCAAAACUUCUAAAACUCUUAAAUGAUUGAUCUUUUGAAAAAAGUUCCUUUGUAAGAUGUUGUUUUAUUUUGCAAGAUCUACAACUUUCAUGUUUUAUUGAUCCUUGAAAGUCAUUUUUUGACCAAAGAUCUCAAAAGUCAAUGAUGAUCCUAUACAGUUGACUUUUUCCAGAUAAGGUGAGAUUUUGGACUUUUGUGUAGAAUCAAGAUCUUUUCCUCAAAUGAAUGAUGUAAAUGGAUUAUAUUGAGGUAGUAGAGAUUCUUGAAUCAUGUCUUGAGUUUUGGAUUCAUGCCCUGAUUAAAAGUCAACUAUCCUGGUGAAUUAGGUCAAAAACCCUAAUUGUCGACCAGAUGAAAAUAAUGACUGUAGACUUUGAAAUGAGGUGUGAUGUCCAGUGGAUCUUGUCAUAUGAGUUAUUUGAAGAUGAUUGAUGUCUUUGAAUGAUUCCCUAGGGCUUUUUAUGGUUUCCCAAAGGUGAUCCCUGAUUUUAGUCCUUGAUAAGGCUCAAAACCCUAGUUUGUGGAUCUGAGUAAUUAUGUACUUAUAUGACUGGGUGUCUAAUCAAUCAUAGGUGAAAUAAUGAAGCUCUUGAGUCUUAUGAUUGUAUUAGAGACUAAUCCUCCUAUUGAUUGAUCAUUUGCCUGAGUUUUCCUUUCUUUGAACACCCUCGAUUGAAUGUCAGACUGUUCUAGGUACUUACUCUGACUUGAUGAAAAUCCUGAAGAUAUGUCAUCUCAGAGGGGGUCAAAAAUUAGGGUAUGACAGAUGCCCCUAUUUAAGUUUCUUUUAUCCGGAGGGAGAGAGAUUGAUAUCUCGAUCUCUCCUGCGUAAAAGAGACUUAAAUAUCGAGGAAUGCCCGGAUUUUGGGCGCUCCUGAGAUGUUGUAAUUGAUAAAACUUUGCAUGACUUGAUCCCGUUGUCGCGCUUGGCGGGGGAUGAGGAGACAAACUCCUGCAGAAAUACUUGAUGUGGAUUCUGGCGAAUGGAUGGCAGUGUAGGAUGCGCAAUCCAUCUUCUUUAACUAAGUGUUGAUACUUAGAAAAAGGUAAACAACCUCCCCCUUGUUCCGGAUGUCCAUAUCUCGAAACUGGUCUUAGUUGUGUUUGGACAAUAUCUCAGAUAAAGAGAAAAUUUCCAAAAGGUCUGUUUCCUCAUCAAACUUCUCAUCAGCACUAGGAGAUGAGAUACCAUUUGACGGUAAAUAAAGAAACUUCAAAGGUUUGUUUCCUCAUCAAACUUCUCAUCAGCACUUGGAGAUGAGAUACCAUUUGACGGUAAUAAAGAAACUUCAAGGUUUGUUUCCUCAUCAAACUUCUCAUCAGCACUUGGAGAUGAGAUACCAUUUGACGGUAAAUAAAGAAACUUCAAAGGUUUGUUUCCUCAUCAAACUUCUCAUCAGCACUUGGGGAUGAGAUACCAUUUGACGGUAAUAAAGAAACUUCAAAGGUUUGUUUCCUCAUCAAACUUCUCAUCAGCACUUGGGGAUGAGAUACCAUUUGACGGUAAAUAAAGAAACUUCAAAGGUUUGUUUCCUCAUCAAACUUCUCAUCAGCACUUGGAGAUGAGAUACCAUUUGAUGGUAAUAAAGAAACUUCAAGGUUUGUUUCCUCAUCAAACUUCUCAUCAGCACUUGGAGAUGAGAUACCAUUUGACGGUAAAUAAAGAAACUUCAAGGUUUGUUUCCUCAUCAAACUUCUCAUCAGCACUUGGAGAUGAGAUACCAUUUGACGGUAAUAAAGAAACUUCACCAUCUUCCCUUUUGACUUGGCAUCUUUGAAAGAUCGUCAUAUGGGUCCGCGCUCUUUUGAGGGGCUAAUGACUUUGUUUGAAGGCGGACGAACUGUCUUCGGGGUGAAAACUGCCAUUCGUCGACUGGUGCCUGGGGAAUCAACAAACUGUUUUCCUAAGAGGAAAACUACCAUUCAUCGACUCUGUGGGGAACUAAGCAUCCCAGAAACAGACAAACCGUUUGAAGAAACUGCCGUUUGUCGAUCUCUUGAGUAUUUAACAAACAAACUGUCUUUCCUUGGGGAACGACUACCAUUUGUUGACUCCGCUGGGGAUCAUGAACUAUCUUCUGGACGAAGACUACCAUUCACUGAUUCUGCUGGGGGGGAUCAUUUGUCAAUCUUGCUGGGAAAUUCUGAAUUGCUUUCAAAAAGGGGCAUUUCCGGAUCUUGCUGGGAAAAUACCAAAUUUGUAGGGAAUUCCAAAAUGCGAAGCAGACUGUCUUAUCUGAAGAAGACUGUCGAGUGUCGCUCUACAGGAGAAUCUCGGCUGAGGAUUUCCAAAAGUGAACAAACUAUCUCUUUGAGGGAGACUACCAUCUAUUGACUUGCUUGGGGAGAUCCUUGUGUAUGAACUGUUGUCUCGAAGGAAAAAGUUUCUCCGGAACUUGCAGGGGAAACUCGAGUUCAUGCCUCAAUGACUUAGGCAUUCACAGGAUCAAAGCCUGAUUCGACUAUGCAAUUAUGAUGUAAUGUAUGCAUGAAUAUUAUGACAAUGAUAAAAUGUAAAGUGAAUGUGAAUGGAAUCGUCGCGGAUGUAAAAUCCUAUGAUACGACUGAAAUUCUUGCGGAUCAGAAGAUGUCCUCUUCUUGGAGUUCGAACUCUGUUGGGAAUAUCUGGUUAUCAGUUGUCCGCUGUCCGAAGUAAGUAAUAUGAAUUGAAGUAAAGAUCCGUCAUCGGGAGAUGUUCGCAAAGCGACCUCAUGGGGAAAACUUGGUUCCCGGAGUCUCAACCGUUCUCGGAGCAACUAUUUGCAUUCUUCCUAUUGUUUGUAAACCUUAGAAAGAAAUUUCACCUUUAUUUUUGCAAGUAAAUUCAUUUUUAUUUUAUGAAAACAUUUGUUUCAAGAAAAUGACUGUUUAAAUUUAAAAUGCAUUCCAAGAAACUGAAAAAGACUAGAUUGCAAAGGAAAAGCACAAGGCUCAAAUUAUUAUAUAUGGAAUGGUAAUCAGCCAAAUGCUUGAUUCCAUGGAGUAUUUACAAAAGUUGGAAAUUGGUAAUUUUCGGGAAAAGGGCUACGAUGAAACGUGACGACCGUUAUCUUUCCCUUCCACUCCAAGUCGCGCUGUAUUCGUGCUUCGUAGAAGAUGACCUACUGCUGAUGAAUACUCCGCUAUGGAUUUUGAAUGAUCAAGUUUGUCCUGGACACAGUUACUUGCCAUAUAUCCCUAACUUUUGCGUAAACUACCCCUUUCGGGUUUUAAGUUUACCGGGAUUGAUUAUUAUUAUCAUUAUUUUUUAUAUGUCUCUAACUUUUGCCUGAACCGCCCUUUCGGGUUUUCGAUUCACCGAGACGCUCUUUUUUGCCUAAGCCGCUCUUUGCGAGUUUUCAACUUAGCGAGCUGUUCUUUUAAUUAUUUAGGCGAAGUAUUUCUUGACUGCGUCGACGUUCACAGGACGGGUGAAUUCUUCUCCAUCCAUAGUCGUGAGUAUUAAGGCUCCUCCUGAGAAAGCUCUCUUGACCACGUAGGGGCCGUCAUAAUUGGGAGUCCAUUUCCCUCUCGAAUCUGUGAGAAAAGAUUGAAUCUUUUGGAGUACAAGGUCGCCUUCUUUGAUCGUGCGAGGUCGAACCUUUUUGUCGAAAGCUUUCUUCAUUCUUUGUUGAUAUAGCUGUCCGCGGCAUAAAGCUGUCAUGCGCUUUUCUUCGAUUAAGUUCAAUUCAUCGAAUCUGCUUUGACACCACUCGGCUUCUGUUAAUUUUGCUUCCAUCAAUACUCUCAUUGAUGGAAUCUCAACCUCUAUUGGUAGGACUGCCUCCAUGCCAUAUACAAGGGAGAAAGGAGUUGCUCCAGUCGAAGUACGUACUGAUGUACGGUAACCAUGAAGAGCAUACGGGAGCAUUUCAUGCCAAUCUUUGUAAGUGAUGACCAUCUUCUGAAUGAUUUUCUUGAUGUUUUUGUUAGCUGCUUCUACAGCUCCAUUCAUCUUUGGUCUGUAAGGAGAUGAGUUGUGAUGUUCGAUCUUGAAUUCUUCACAAAGCUCCUUCAUCAUUUUGUUAUUCAAAUUUGACCCAUUGUCAGUGAUUAUCCUGCUAGGAAUGCCGUAGCGACAGAUGAUGUGAUUCUUGAUAAACCUGACGACAACUUGUCUUGUAACGUUUGCAUAUGAAGCUGCUUCAACCCAUUUGGUGAAAUAGUCUAUGGCUACCAAGAUGAAGCGAUGUUCGUUGGACGCUUUUGGUUCGAUCAUUCCAAUCAUGUCGAUUCCCCACAUGGAGAAAGGCCAAGGGGAAGAGAGUAUGUUGAGAAGAGAUGGUGGCACAUGAAUUCUAUCGGCGUAGAUCUGACAUUUGUGACACCUCUUUGCGUACUGGUAGCAAUCUGACUCCAUCGUCAGCCAAUAAUAUCCUGCUCUCAGUAUUUUCCUUGUCAUGGUAUGUCCAUUGGUGUGAGUACCAAAGGAACCUUCAUGUAUUUCUCUCAUGAGUAUUUCUGCUUCUUUUCUGUCAGCGCAUCUGAGCAGAACCAUGUCGAAGUUUCUCUUGUACAGAACAUCUUCAUUCAAGAAGAAUCUACAAGCUAACUUUCUCAAAGUCUUUCUAUCUUUUUUUGAUGCCCCAAGAGGGUACUCUUGCUUUUGAAGAAAGUUCUUGAUGUCGUGAUACCACGGUUUGUCGUCGAUGAUUGCUUCUACUGUGAAAACAUGAGCGGGCCUAUCCAGGCGCAUAACAUCGAUCCGAGGAAUGUUAUUCCAAUGAUUUAUCCUAAUCAUGGAAGAGAGUGUGGCUAAUGCAUCAGCCAAAUUGUUUUCUUCACGAGGAAUGUGAUGAAAAUCUACCCUGUCGAAGAAUGGUAACAAUCUUCUCGCGUAGUCUUUGUAAGGAAUUAGCCCUGGUUGGCGUGUUUCCCAUUCUCCUUUGAUUUGAUUGAUGACCAAAGCAGAAUCUCCGUAUACAUCCAAGUGUUUGAUUCUUAGAUCCAUGGCUUCUUCGAGACCCAUGAUGCAAGCUUCAUAUUCGGCCUCAUUGUUUGUGCAUUUGAAAGUUAAUCUGGCAGUAAAUGGAAUAUGGGUACCCUGAGGUGUAACAAUGAUUGCCCCAAUUCCUCGUCCAUAAGCAUUGACAGCUCCGUCAAAGAUUAAGCCCCAUUGGGAUCCUAUCUCAGGUCCUUCGUCUGGUAGUGGCUCGUCGUAAUCUUUCAUCUUGAGGUACAUGACGUCUUCGUCCGGAAAGUCGAAACUGGUUGAUUCAUGACCAUUGAGUGGGUGGUGAGCCAGGUGCUCAGCUAGAAUGCUUCCUUUCACGGCUUUCUGUGCGUGAUACUCAAUGUCAUAUUCUGAUAACAACAUCUGCCAACGGGCAAUUCUCCCGGUUAAAGCAGGCUUCUCAAAGAUGUACUUGAUUGGAUCCAUAUGAGAGAUCAAACAAGUAGUAUGUCGAAUCAUGUACUGGCGGAGACGCUUGGCAGCCCAGGCCAAAGCACAACACGUCUUCUCGAGCAUGGAGUAGCGGGAUUCACAGUCAGUGAACUUCUUGCUCAGGUAGUAAAUGGCAUGCUCUUUUCUCUUUGUCUCGUCUUGCUGUCCAAGGACACAACCCAUGGAAUCUUCUAAGACGGUCAAGUACAUUAUCAAAGGUCUUCCUUCCACUGGAGGAGACAAGAUGGGUGGUUCGAGCAGAUAUUCCUUAAUGCUGUCGAACGCUUUCUGACAAUCGUCUGUCCGGACGCAACUUUGAUUUUUCCGUAGAAGUUUGAAAAUAGGAACGCAAGUUGCAGUCAUGAGAUAUAUGAAUCUCGAGAUGUAAUUCAGACGUCCAAGAAAUCCUCUAACUUGUUUCUCGGUUCUGGGUGAAGGCAUUUCUUGAAUUGCCUUAACUUUGUCUGGAUCUACUUCAAUUCCUCGUUUGCUGACAAUGAAACCAAGGAGUUUCCCUGAGUAGACACCAAAGGUGCACUUGUUGGGGUUCAGGCGAAGCUGAAACUUCCGUAAGCGUUGAAAUAACUUUGUCAGAUUCUGUAUGUGAUCUUCUUCAUUUUCUGAUUUGGCAAUCAUGUCGUCCACAUAGACUUCCACUUCCUUAUGCAUCAUGUCGUGGAAAAGCGUAGUCAUGGCCCUUUGAUAAGUUGCCCCUGCGUUCUUUAGUCCAAAAGGCAUAACACGGUAGCAGAACGUGCCCCAGGGGGUGAUGAAAGCUGUUUUUUCCAUGUCUUCAGGUGCCAUUUUGAUUUGGUUAUAUCCUGAAAAUCCGUCCAUGAACGAGAAAACUUUGGAUUUUGCUGUACUGUCUACCAACAUAUCAAUAUGUGGUAAAGGAAAAUCAUCCUUAGGGCUAGCUUUGUUCAAAUCUCUGUAGUCGACGCACAUGCGGACUUUUCCAUCUUUCUUAGGAACGGGAACAAUGUUAGCUAACCACUAAGGGUAUUCUGAAGUGACGAGGAAACCUGCGUUGAUCUGCUUUUGAACUUCCUCUUUGAUUUUCAUGGCCAUCUCCGGAUGAGUUCUUCUCAAUUUUUGCUUGACCGGAGGGCAUUCUGCUUUUAAUGGCAAGUGAUGCUCCACUAUACUGGUAUCCAACCCUGGCAUAUCUUGAUAAGACCAAGCGAAGACAUCUGAGAAUUCUUUGAGCAGCUGUAUCAAACUCUCUCUGAUCUCUGAACUGAGCGAAGCUCCAAUCUUAACCUCUUUUUUGUUUCCAUCGGAACCAAGGUUAAUGAUCUCUAGAGGCUCAUUGUAUGGCUGAAUGGCCUCUUCCUUUUGUUGAAGUAACCGUGAAAUUUCCUUUGAUAUUUCUUCGUCUUCUUCUUCCUCUGCCUCGAAUACAGGAAACUCAAAGCUUGGAGAAGUCAUACGAUCGCACGUUUCAACGGGGUAUUUUAUGAUUAAUCUGCAUAUGUGUGAUAAGUUUUAUUUAGACAACGAGGGAAGACUCGGUGUAUGCAAUUAAUGAAAUAUUUUUGAUGAUUUUUAGGGUGUUUUUUAGGAUUACCAAUUUCCGAAAAAGAGAAAAGGAAAAACUAAACGAAGGAACAGAAUGACAUUUUUAUUUAUGGACAGUCAUUUCUUGAAACAAAGACCCUAUAAAACAAAACUCUAUUGCUUUGGGCGAAGCAAAGAGGGACAUUUUCCUAAGAAAUAGUAAAAUGCAAAGCCCUAUGAAACAUCUCUUCACCCUGGGCUAUGGUGAGAGGACAAAAUAACGGUGAAAGUUCCUACUUAGGAGUGCGAACAACAGUUGUAACUUCAACAGCUGUCCAAUAGUGGCGAACCCCAUUGUGCACUAAGUAAUCUGGAACCUUAGGCUUAAGCUGGCCUGUGGUAGGUCUUGAUUUACCAACCACUGUCUUUGCAACACUCAGACGAUCUUCUUCUACUUCAGCAGACUGAGCGGUGUGAGCAUACCCAUUUCCGAGUGGAGUAUGUCGGUUUUUCUUUUGAGGAAACUUCCAAUCUUCUGAAUGGAGAGACUCGUUGUCGGAGACACUUUCGAGAUCGUCCUCUUCUGUAUUUUGGUCUUGCUCUUCUCCCAAGAUGGCAUUGACUAGAUAUGUAAACUCUAGAUCCGUAGCCUCGGAAGGUGACUUGGGGAUAUAAUCCUCAAUGAUGAUUUCACCAGUAGAUGAUGAUGAAUAGCAAGGGUUAUACAUCUCUUUUGGUUGAGAGAGGUACUCAUAAUCAAUGUUCCAUCCAGUUGGAACAAUAUCUUCAAGAGAGAUUCUUGAACUUUCAGGAGCGGAGUAUUUCACCAUGCAGUCAAAUUUUCCGCUUGGUUAUCCUAAUGUAUCCCAAGUCUCUUCGGGGAUAGGAGGAACUUCUUCUGAUGAACCAUGACUUCUGGUGGUGAAGUUGUUAGUAACUUCAUCACUGCUUGGUUGAGUCUUACUUUCAGAUCCUCUAGUCGGAUAACAGCAAGGUGAUUCAGACUCUGGUAGGGAGAUGUAUCCUGCUUUGUUAAGAUAGGAUAACCAUUCCUCUUCAUCGGUGUUUUCCGUACCGAUGGUAUUGACUGUUUGUUGAACAGGUUGAAGAAAACCUCCACUGCAGAAAGUUUCUUGAAUGGGGAGAACUACCUCAAUCCCUGGGAUAGCUUUUGAUGAUGUCGGAAAGAAUCCAAUUCCUAUUCUGUUCUUGUUGUUGGUAGGAAUAUUAAUGUGUCCCCAACCACUGGUAGUGCCAUUCUUUACAACUUGGAUUGCAUCUUUGUAUGAAGAGAUAGACGCUGCUUUCUCCUUUCCUUUGUCCAAGGAAAGUGCUUGGAAUUUAGUUCCAACAACUUCUUUUGGUUCUACGUCGGAGAAUGAUGACAGGUUGCUGAUGAUCAGAGCUCGUUCUCCACAUACGGUUACCAAUUUGUCAUUUCUUAUGAACUUCAGUUUCUGAUGAAGUGUUGAAGUAAUUGCCCCAGCCUCAUGAAUCCAUGGGCGACCUAGCAAACAACUGUAUUGCGUUGGAAUGUCCAUAACCUGGAAAGUGAUUUUGAACGUCUGAGGUCCAAUAGUUAUGGGAAGAUCCACUUCUCCGAAAACUGACUUUCUUGAUCCAUCAAAUGCUUUGACGAUGACAUGACUUUUUCUUAGAGGGUAAUCUUCGCAAGAUAAUCUUGAUAAUGUUGAUUUAGGCAUGACGUUGAGAGAGGAUCCAUUGUCUAUUAGGACUCCUGUGAGUGUAUUACCCAUGCAGCCAACUGAGAUGUGAAGUGGAAGAUUGUGGUCCACUCCUUCUUCAGGAAGAUCUUCGUCACAGAAACUUAGGUUAGUUCCGGCGGAGAUAUUGGCAAUGAUGUUGUUGAAUUGGCUUAUUGUAACACUUGGUUCUACGAAAGCUUGUUCCAAAACUUUCUGUAGAGCUUCCCUAUUGUCGCACGCUCGCGAAAAAUGAACAGAGUCGCCACCAAUAUAUUUAUCCCAUAAGGGAAAGGAAUAUCAGAAAACCUAACAAAGGAAGGAACAGGGUCUUGCGACCAGAGAAUCAAGGUACGGGAGUCGGUUACGCGAGGGGAAGGUAUUAGCACCCCUCGCGCCCAUCGUACUCGAUGGUAUCCACCUAUGUUUGUUUCUAUCUAAUGGGUGUAUACUAUGUCUAUGUCUAAAUGCGAAAUGAAUGCAGAAUGUAGGGAAAAUAAAGAAUUGUACUCGCACGGGCCCUACCCCGCUGCCUACGUAUCCUUUUCAGGAAUCAGAGUUACCGUAGCUCGGCUCACGUUUUUCUGUUUGUCUUUGUGUUUUUUUAAUUGGGCGGAGUCAACGCUCGCGUUCUUGCACAAGGGGACAGCCUAGGAUGCAAUGGAACGGAGAUAACGAUGCCCUUAAGAAGAAGAAAGAGAUUGGUUUGUGUCUUUUAGGGUAGAUGAGUGAUGAACAGUACCCAAUACCGGGCCACUCACCACUUUCUCUACUUUGCUUUAGUCUGAACCAUUGUUAGGUGUGUUGAAGUGUUUUUGAUUGUGUGUUUUUUAAGGGGGAGUUUAAUUUGCGAUCCGAAUCACAUAAAAUGUAUAAUGAUCGAGAAGCAGAUUAAGGAAUGAAUCCUACUCACUUCCAUCCCAUUAUGUAAUGUUUGAGAAGCAGAUUAGAGAAUGAAUCUCACUCGUUUCUCUCCCAUUAAUUAAUGUUUGAGAAACAGAUUAGGGAAUGAAUCCCACUCGUUUCUCUCCCAUUAAGUAGUGACCGAGAAACAGAUUAGGGAAUGAAUCCCACUCGUUUCUAUGCCACUAAGUGAUUGAGAAAUAGAUUAGGGAAUGAAUCCCACUCAUUUCUCUAUCACUUGCUUAAUGUGAUUCGCAUCUUCCUUUUAUUAAUGUUUUAAAGAGUUGAAAAAGAAAAAGAAUGCAAACGGGAACUAAUCCUAAAUUCUAGUCUAAGUUGUCUAUACAAGUCUAAAUCCUAAUGUUAACAUGGGAUAGAUUGUAAGAGAAGCAUACAAGUGGUAUUAACAACAUAGGCCAAAAAUAUGGCCAAAAGCUAAGCAACAAAGUCACACAACAAUUAUACAAAGAAAUAGCAUGAGAAUGGUACAAAACAUAAAAGGAGCAACUCAAAAUUAGUGCAAAAUUAAACUAGAAAACUACUAUUUUUAUGGGUUUUUAUAAAAGAGCUCAAAUGUCAAAAUUAACCUAAAAGAUCUACUAUUUUUAUGAGUCUUUUUGAUGAAGGAGAUUAAGUGUCAAAAUUAACCUAAAAAAUCUACUUAUUUUUUAUGACCUUUUUGUGAGAAAAUUCUAAGACUAAAAUCUAGCAAUGACAAAACACCUAAAAUCUAGAAGUUUAUGGAAUUAGGGGGGUAAAAAUUGAAUUUAGUGGUGUCAGUAAUUCUGGGCGUAGGGCCCAUGGAGUCUGGCCCAGAGAGGCGUCUUUUUUGAUACAGCAUUGAUCUUAUAGCCAAAAAUGGCGUAAUGGGCUUACUGGGGGUGAAUCAAUAAUUCGUGUUGACUGAGCCCAGGAUCUAAUUUCCAUAGAUUUUCUUCAUGUCACAAAAACGGUGUUAUGGGCUUCUAUAGGGUGUGAACAAGGAUUCGUAUGGCCCAAUGCUUAAUGAUUCAAUGGUUUUCAGAUUUAUGCUACUUCCAAGUUAAUCACCAUGUUAAUUACAUUCAAACUUCAUAAACUAAAUCUAAUUAAUCCUAUAUUCAGUUAACCUAAGGUUUAAAAUAAAAAUAAGUUAAAAAGGAAUAGAAAAAAGAAGAUUUAGGGUUCACCUAGUAAUGACGUUCCCAAUUCACGUUCUUCUUCCUCUCCAUGUGAAAUUCGCGGCGGCCUCCCCCUCCUUGCGACGGCGACAAUCAAUCUCUCUUCUCUGGCAAUGCUUCCGUGAAUCAACCAACACGUGCCUCCCUCUCGCCUCUCCAACUUCGUCUCUUAUCUCAUCUCGAUCGGUAUCCCGGACGGUGCGGCGAAGGUCAGCGUGAAGCCGCUGAAGAUGGAGGUUGAAGUCGUGCGAUCAUGAUGAUUCUUGGAGUUGCGAAGAUGGAGCUCAGCGUUGAAGUCUGUCGUAUGCGGUUCGUGGCUGGUUACGGAUGUAGAACGAUGGUGAUGAAUCGAAGGUGAAUCAGGUGAUUGAAAUUAUUUCCCGCUGAAUUCGUUACAGAUUAGUGAACGGUGAUGUGAAGGUUAUUUGAUGUUGCAGGCUGCCUGGUGAUGAUGAUGAUGAAGAUCGUGGAGUAUUCAAGAUCGAAGAUGGUGAUGAUGCAGCGAUGAACCGGUGAAGGUUUUGGUUCUGUUUCGUUUUCUUCUUUUCUUCGUUUUUUGUUGUGAACUGUUUUCUAUUAUGGAGAUGAUAGAUGAUUGAAACAGGUUGAAGAUUGGAGAAUUUUCUGCGUGAAUUCAAGGUGAAGCUUGCGGUGAUUUCGGUGGUGAUUCUGAGGUACCGUUGAAGGCCAUGGAGGAGAUGAAUUGAAGUGUGAAUUCUGUUGAACUGCAAGAUUGAAGAUGAUGAAGAUUGGAGGAGAAGAUUCGGUUCAGAGAGUGAAAGAGAUGGUGAUGGAGUGAAGAAGAUUCAGAGUGUGGAUUAUGGAGAGAGCUGAAUAAAGAAUGGUGAAUGAGGUUAUAUAGGGGUGAUGAAGAUUGAAGGGUUUGAAUAAUCGAUGGAGGGAGAAUCAGAGGAAGUUUGUUACAUCACAUCUCCUUCAGUGAGUUUCCUUUCCCUCUCAAAGUUUGUUACACCUUUCUGUUAUUGAUAUUUUCCCCCGAUUUUCUGUUAUAUCUCUUUGAAGUUGGUUUAAAAAGUCAGUUAGAUGGCAGUUACAAUUGUUUUGUUGUUGGGAAGUUAGUUAUGAGAUUGGUUAAAGUUUGUUAGUAACAGUUAAGAAGUUGGUUAGAGAAAUGUUUAGGAAUUGGUCGUUUUGAAAUUCUGUUAUGAUGGUUUGGAGGUAGUUAUAGGGUGGUUAUAUAUGCUGUUAUGGUUAUGUCAGUUAGGGAAAAGAAACUGAAUGACUAACUGUUGUUGUUUUUUGAAGAUUUAACUGAACAAGUUUAAAAGACUGUUGAAGGGGUGGCUGGUACUUGAAAUUAGAGACUUGUAAUUGGUAUUAAAGAUGACUUAGAAUUCUGUCUUGACAGGGGCUGUUUUUGAACUGAGCUUUUGAAUGAUAUGAAUAUGGAUGUUGUAGGGGACUUGGUCUUGAAUUUGAACUGAUGCAGGGUUGUUUUGUUUAUUUUUCUGGAUGAUGAAUGUGUGCUUGUCCUGUAGGUAUUGAAGCUGAGUUUGGACUGGACUGAAUAUGAAUGUGACUUGUGUUUGAUUUUUGUGUGAUGUUGAUUUGUUGCAGGUUUUGGCUUAGCUUGGAACUUUAGUGAAUGAUGGUGAGAAUAGAACUGGUCAGAAAACGUAUGGACACAUGAUAUCGAGUAUGCAGAUCUUUGGAUUUUGAUGGUAUGUCGGAUUGGUGUCAAUGUAGGUUGAUUUUCUGUUGUGCACUUUCACUGAACCAUAAUGCGAACUGGAUUGUCAUUGUUGUAUGGGUUCGGAUGUGAUUUGAAAGGCGUAUCGAGGGGCAUGACGUGGUGUGGAUAGGAGUGAUGAAACUGAAGAUGGUUUUGAACUAAAGACAUGGUUUAGAAUAGGCUUUCAACAUUGUGUCUUUAAAUUUUUGUGAAGAUGUAAGGAUGCUUUGGUGGGAUUGGAACGGUCGAAUGUAUUUGUAUUUUGAAAUUGGUUUCUGAAUUUUGUUUUGAUGGACACUUGUAUUUUGUAAGAGAGACUUGUAACUUGAACCUUGGAUAAGUGGGAAUGAUGUUUAUGUUGGAAGUAUGAAUAUGUCAUCAGGUCUUGUAAUGAAUCUGGUGGAUUUGAAUGGAA